rnacentral:rRNA from 1 species
UACGUAGGGCGCAAGCGUUGUCCGGAAUUAUUGGGCGUAAAGAGCUCGUAGGCGGCUUGUCACGUCGGGUGUGAAAGCCCGGGGCUCAACCGUGGAAGUGCACUCGAAACUGCGUAGCUAGAGUCCUGGAGAGGAAGGUGGAAUGCUUGGUGUAGAGGUGAAAUUCGUAGAUAUCAAGCGGAACACCGGUGGCGAAGGCGGCCUUCUGGACAGUGACUGACGCUGAGACGCGAAAGCGUGGGGAGCAAACAGG